GACGUAGGGUGCAAGCGUUGUUCGGAUUCACUGGGCGUAAAGGGUGCGCAGGUGGGUUUGCAAGUUUGAUGUGAAAGCCCCGGGCUUAACCCGGGAAUGGCAUUGAAUACUGCAGAUCUGGAGGAUCGGAGGGGGGACUGGAAUUCUUGGUGUAGCAGUGAAAUGCGUAGAUAUCAAGAGGAACACCAGUGGCGAAGGCGAGUCCCUGGACGAUACCUGACACUGAGGCACGAAAGCUAGGGGAGCAAACAGG
rnacentral:rRNA from 1 species